rnacentral:rRNA from 1 species
AGUGGGUGUAAUGUACCUACUAGCCUACGACGGGUACGGGUUGUGAGAGCAAGAGCCCGGAGAUGGAUUCUGAGACACGAAUCCAGGCCCUACGGGGUGCAGCAGGCGCGAAAACUUUACAAUGCGGGAAACCGUGAUAAGGGAAUCUCGAGUGCCAGCAUAUAAUGUUGGCUGUCCAGAUGCCUAAAAAGCAUCUGUUAGCAAGGGCCGGGCAGGACCGGUGCCAGCCGCCGCGGUAACACCGGCGGCCCGAGUGGUAACCGCUUUUAUUGGGUCUAAAGGGUCUGUAGCCGGCCAAGUAAGUCCCUUGGGAAAUCUGGCAGCUUAACUGUCAGGCUGCUAGGGGAUACUGCUGGGCUUGGGACCGGGAGAGGUGAGAGGUACCUUGGGGGUAGGGGUGAAAUCUUGUGAUCCUCGGGGGACCACCAGUGGCGAAGGCGUCUCACCAGAACGGGUCCGACGGUAAGGGACGAAAGCUAGGGGCACGAACCGGAUUAGAU